UACGUAGGGGGCAAGCGUUGUCCGGAUUUAUUGGGCGUAAAGAGCGUGUAGGCGGUUAGGUAGGUCCGUUGUGAAAACUCGAGGCUCAACCUCGAGACGCCGAUGGAAACCAUCUAACUAGAGUCCGGAAGAGGAGAGUGGAAUUCCUGGUGUAGCGGUGAAAUGCGCAGAUAUCAGGAAGAACACCCGUGGCUAAGGCGGCUCUCUAGUACGGUACUGACGCUGAGAUGCGAAAGCGUGGGGAGCGAACAGG
rnacentral:rRNA from 1 species